rnacentral:lncRNA from 12 species
GACACUAGUUGCUAUGAGCAUAUGGAAGCGCUUUGUCUUUGGGAGUUGGAGAAGAUUCUGAAUCCUGAAGGAGAGGCAGAAAUGGCUCUCCAAAGCAAGCAAAGGCAAAAGCUUCCUCUGCUCAUCUCGCCUGCUGUCCCCAUCGGAAAAAUCCAUACCCACAACCUUUCCCAGCCUUUCAUCUGCCUCUGGAGAAUCAGGGAAGCCAAUGGGAGUAUUGUUCGUUUGGCAACUGUGUUGUCCUUUGCUGUACAGAAGCGUGGUGGGCGUCCCUGACCACAAGAGCAGAUGAGAAGGGAAGCCAUAGGUAUUGUGCCUCCUGCCACAGGAGUGGAAUACGUGAUUCACAGUCCUCCUGCAGCAUUAAUCAAGCCGUGUUUACAUGGAAAGAAGCCAAAAGAGCCAGAGCCAAAGAGGUGCAUUUGCAAAGCCAAGUGAUGAUGUCAUCUAGGCAGAACAGCUCCGGCAAGCCACUUAGCUGGCCUAGAUGCCUUGUAUUUAGCUGUGGAGCAAAUCCCAGAGGAUGCAAAGCUAUCAGUGUUAAUCUUGGCAUGGGAAACUUCAAGGUGUGGAGCAGGAGAGUGAGAGGAUGCGUGUCCACCAGGAGAAGAGCAAGAGAAGGAUGCUAA